rnacentral:rRNA from 1 species
GACGAACGCUGGCGGCGUGCUUAACACAUGCAAGUGGAGCGACGAACCAGGCUUCGGCCUGGGGCAGAGCCGCGAACGGGUGAGUAACACGUGGGUAACCUGCCUCGAUGACCGGGACAACCCGGGGAAACCCGGGCUAAUACCGGAUGUGCUGCCCUCACAUCAGUGAGGGUUGGAAAGGAAGCUUCGGCCUCCGCAUCGAGAUGGGCCCGCGGCCCAUUAGCUUGUUGGUGAGGUAAAGGCUCACCAAGGCUGCGAUGGGUAGCUGGUCUGAGAGGACGAUCAGCCACACUGGGACUGAGACACGGCCCAGACUCCUACGGGAGGCAGCAGUGGGGAAUCUUGCGCAAUGCGCGAAAGCGUGACGCAGCAACGCCGCGUGGGGGAAGAAGGCCU